UACGUAGGGGGCUAGCGUUGUCCGGAAUCAUUGGGCGUAAAGAGCGCGUAGGCGGCCAGAUAAGUCCGGUGUGAAAGUCAAAGGCUCAACCUUUGAAUGCCGCUGGAAACUGUCUGGCUAGAGUCCGGGAGGGGCGAGUGGAAUUCCCGGUGUAGCGGUGAAAUGCGCAGAUAUCGGGAGGAACACCAAUGGCGAAGGCAGCUCGCUGGGACGUGACUGACGCUGAGACGCGAAAGCGUGGGGAGCAAACAGG
rnacentral:rRNA from 1 species